rnacentral:rRNA from 1 species
GAUGAACGCUGGCGGCGUGCCUAACACAUGCAAGUCGAACGGAAAGGCCAGGCGCUUGUGGGGCGGUCGAGAGGGGCACGCGGGAGAAAAACACGUGUAUAACGUACUUGACUUUGGGGUAAAUUUUCGAGACACGGGCUAAAACACGAUAGGAUAUACUGCAGCACGGGGGUGGUUAGAAAGUUUCGGCGGUUGGGGAUGGAAUAGCGGGUUAUGAGCUUGUUGGGGGGGUAGGGGCGUACCAAGGCUUUGACGGGUAGGCGGCCUGGGAGGGUGACCGGCCACAUUGGGCCUGCGAUACGGCCCAGACUCCUACGGGAGGCAGCAGUGGGGAAUAUUGCGCAAUGGGCGGAAGCCUGAUGCAGCAACGCCGCGUGCGGGAUGACGGCCUUCGGGUUGUAAACCGCUUUCGCCUGUGACGAAGCGUGAGUGACGGUAAUGGGUAAAGAAGCACCGGCUAACUACGUG